GACGUAGGGCGCGAGCGUUGUCCGGAUUUAUUGGGCGUAAAGAGCUCGUAGGCGGCUUGUUGCGUCGACUGUGGAAACCCGCGGCUUAACUGCGGGCUUGCAGUUGAUACGGGCAGGCUAGAGUUCGGUAGGGGAGACUGGAAUUCCUGGUGUAGCGGUGAAAUGCGCAGAUAUCAGGAGGAACACCGGUGGCGAAGGCGGGUCUCUGGGCCGAUACUGACGCUGAGGAGCGAAAGCGUGGGGAGCGAACAGG
rnacentral:rRNA from 1 species